GGCUGGCAGCUAUAGGUCCGAUUCGACCCCUAGCCUGGGAACUUCUAUAUGUUGCCCUAAAAAGACAAAGUGCUAGUCAAUGAGAUAUAAACUGAAGUGUAUAUUACUUCCAGGAAGUCUCAAUAAGAGGGAACUUCUGUGCUAACUCCAUUCCACUUUUGUCCUCCUGCUGUCUGGAACACAGAUGUGACAGGGCUUUAAGCAGCCAUUUUGUGGCUACGAGGUGAUGUAAAAAAUGGAAAACACCUGCCAAGGAUGAUGAAGCAUAAAGUUUUUAAAGUCAGGUCAUUAAGGUUACUAUGAAGGUAACAUUCCCAGUGCUUAACUAUCUAUCUGCACAUCUUUUUUUUUUCAAAUGAGGAAUAAACAUAUGUCCUAUUUAAGCCACUGUUAUUAUUUAGUUAUAAAUACAGCAGAACUUAAUCCUAAUUAAUUCACUUGUUCUUCCAGGCCUGUGACCCAGGCUCUGAUAACUGCACUCAGCGGUGCGGAAUCUCAGUUCUAAGAAGCAGGCCCUGAGAAUUUGUUAUCUGGCGAGGGGAAUGGUAGAGGGAUCAGGACUUUGGAGGCAGCAGUAAUGAGACAUUCACAUCUUUGCCACAUGUCGCUGGUUGGAGCUCCACUGUCUGUGUCCAGCAGUGGCUGUGGGGUUGUCUUUAGGACAGUCCCAUAUGUGGUGAGGCACACUUCCUGGCUACCCAGCUGCCAAGGCCACCUUUCUGGCCCUCCCAGGGAUUCAGUGAGCUACCCAAUACCUCUAGAAAUUUUUUUUCCUGUUUUAGUAGCAACAAGGUCUAUGUGAAGAUAAAGGCCUUAUCUUUAAUACUUUAGUCUCUGUCCUCCUUGCCUGAAAAUACUGGCUUAAACCCAAGGUUUCUCCUUGUCUUCGAUUUAUCCUCACUUUCCUGGGUGUGGGAGAGACUGCAGACAGCCACCAAUUCUAUUCUUCUGUUGAAAUAUGUAUCCACCCUUGGGACUAGGUAAAGCCACACAACUGAUCACAAAUGGGAUGUGAUUAAUUGUGAUGUUUGCAAUUUCUGCCUCACUUGUAUGAUGGAAAGUUGCUUCCUUGGUUUACUCUAUUUUCUUUCCCAUACUCAUAAUAUAGCUUCAACCAAGGAAAUGAGGAAGCAACCUUGUGAAUGGCAGAGCCACAGGAUGGAAGGAGCCUGCGUUCCUGAAUGACUUCAUGGAGUGCAGCAGCCUCAAUAGUCUGGAUUAUUCCCCAUGGAACAUGAAAGAAGAAUAAACUUCCAUUUUCUAGGAAAAGAUACACACUGGAUGGUGUAGAAGCACUGCCAUGAGGUGCCAAAGCAUCCCAAGUCUUGAGGAGUGUGCCAGACCCUAGUCACAAGAAAAUCGUCUUUUUUGGUUGCCUCAGUUUGAAGUAUUCGCAUUCUACUACCUCUACUUCUACUCCAGACUUUAAAAUUUGGCAGUUUUGGAGACCAUGAAGGGACCCAGAGCUGAUUUUUCGUCACCUGAACUUUGAAAGGAUCUGAAGACUUUAUACCAGCAAGGUCCAUUGUCCCCUCCACUUCCUCAGUAAGUUGCAGAUUUAGGUGCAUCUCUUCUGGUCUCAGAUCUCUCACCUUGGUUAACAAUCCUGUUUUGUUCAUGGUGGAUAAAAAAGGUACCUCACUUCUCAGUUGAAAGAUACUAAGUGCCUAGUUAAGAGACAUUGGGAAGUUUGGAAUAGGUAAAGGGAUAGUUGAUGGCUUUCCUUGAAUUGACUUAGUUUAACAGAGUUGUUGGAAUCAAAGUGUAGAUACUAUAUGAGAAUUCUUAGCUCCAAAGAUAAGGGACACAGCUCUAUCUUGGCCUCUUGGCCACAGAUACUCUUGAGGUAAGAGUAUCUCAGACAACCGAGAAACAUGCAGUACUGGUAGAGGCAAGUCCUCAUGCAAUAACAGCUGUUCCUGAGGGAAAACCCUAUCUUUAAAGAAACUCACCCAUCUGGGGAUGCACAAAGAUUUGGCCACCCAGCGUUCCCAGUGCUCAUGGUGGUUUUAGCUUGUAGGAGAAAGAAAGUGAAACAAUUAAAAAACUGAAACAGAGGAGUUCCCAUUGUGGCUCAGGGAGUUAGGAACCCAAUUAAUAUCCAUGAGGAUGCAGGUUUGAUCCCUGGCAU